rnacentral:lncRNA from 1 species
UCAAAUCCUGGUCACAGAUCCAGAGAUGUUAGGUCUUGUUCCAAACUUCUAAAAACUUCUUGGAGGACAAGGAUGGCACAUCUUCAGAGUCUAUCCAUAUCUUCACACCAAUGCCCUAUAUUCUGCCAGAGACAUUAGGUCUUGUUCCAAACUUCUAAAAACUUCUUGGAGGACAAGGAUGGCACAUCUUCAGAGUCUAUCCAUAUCUUCACACCAAUGCCCUAUAUUCUACCAGAGAUGUUAGAUCUUGUUCCAAACUUUUAAAAACUUCUUGGAGGACAAGGAUGGCACAUCUUCAGAGUCUUUCCAUAUCUUCACACCAAUGCCCUAUAUUCUACCAGAGAUGUUAGGUCUUGUUCCAAACUUCUAAAAACUUCUUGGAGGACAAGGAUGGCACAUCUUCAGAGUCUAUCCAUAUCUUCACACCAAUGCCCUCUAUUCUGCCAGAGACAUUAGGUCUUGUUCCAAACUUCUAAAAACUUCUUUGAGGACAAGGAUGGCACAUCUUCAGAGUCUAUCCAUAUCUUCACACCAAUGCCCUAUAUUCUACCAGAGAUGUUAGAUCUUGUUCCAAACUUCUAAAAACUUCUUUGAGGACAAGGAUGGCACAUCUUCAGAGUCUAUCCAUAUCUUCACACCAAUGCCCUAUAUUCUACCAGAGAUGUUAGGUCUUGUUCCAAACUUCUAAAAACUUCUUGGAGGACAAGGAUGGCACAUCUUCAGAGUCUAUCCAUAUCUUCACUAAUGCCCUAUAUUCUACCUUCUAAAGAUGACUUUCAUGAUAAGGAUGCGCCUUCUUAGAGACUUUAUUUUGUCGUUGGCACAAAGUCUUCCAAGAGGCCUUAACAAAAAAAUGUUUCAUUUUAAUGUUUGGAUUCAACCGUCUAUAUUCUCACACAAUUUCAGAGUCUUGACGGUAUCGAACGAUUCCUUAGCUUUUAGCAGUAUUAUUUUAAGAAAAUUUAAUUCAAUCAGAUUCUUUAGCUGAAAUGAAAAUCAUGUCUGUCAGCUGAAACCCUCUUAGGAUGGUUCAUGAAAUUAAUGGCAAUGUCAAUUAUGCUCAUCUUGGUCAGUACCCCAUUUCAGGUAUUACCCAGAAGAGUUAUUAAAUCUGUGAGAGUAUAUCACUUGAAACCUCAACUUAAUAUUAGCAUUUGAAUGAUAUCUUAAUUAGAUUUAUGACCUUGUAUCACUUCACACACAAUUUAAGUACUGUAGUGCAAAAUAGCUGGUAGUCAUUACAUAUGUGUAUCAUGUCAAUAUCUAGUUGUCAGGAUAACCAAAUAACCAUUUUAGAGAUCAAAUCAAACUUGUCUAAUGUAUGCUUACGGCAGUACAAUUAUCCAAUAUUAGAUGGUAGAUGUAAAUGUUUAGUGUGUAAUGUAUUUCUAAUCUAGCAUUGGGAGAGGCACAGAUAUUGACUGUGCAAUCUCAAGUCUCUAGUUUUUAAAAAAAUUUGAAUUGAAAUUUCUCUCUGAGCAUAAAGUGCCAAGUUUUCAUAUUUUAUGUUAAAAAAAAAGUUCUUUGAUGUGCAAUUGAAGCACUUACAAUUUUGCAUAUUUUCUAAACAGUUACAUUCAGUGAUGUUUGGUGUUACAAACCUAAUCAAGGUGUCAUUCAAAUGCUUUUGACUUGAACUGAUUUCUUGUUUUCCUUUAAUAUGAACAACAAGAAAAUUGUAUUCAUUUUUUGACAAACCAAGUAUUAGCCAGAUUCAUUUGAUUCAGGCUUGAAGCAACUUCUCAGAGGGGGAAAGAGUUGGUUCUUAUGAUCUGUCAAGGUCACACUGUUACCAUAUAGAAUCAGAUCAAAUGAAUUAAUACUGAGCUGACAACCAUUUAAA